rnacentral:rRNA from 1 species
GAUGAACGCUGGCGGCGUGCCUAAUACAUGCAAGUCGAGCGAACGGACGAGAAGCUUGCUUCUCUGAUGUUAGCGGCGGACGGGUGAGUAACACGUGGAUAACCUACCUAUAAGACUGGGAUAACUUCGGGAAACCGGAGCUAAUACCGGAUAAUAUUUUGAGCCGCAUGGUUCAAAAGUGAAAGACGGUCUUGCUGUCACUUAUAGAUGGAUCCGCGCUGCAUUAGCUAGUUGGUAAGGUAACGGCUUACCAAGGCAACGAUGCAUAGCCGACCUGAGAGGGUGAUCGGCCACACUGGAACUGAGACACGGUCCAGACUCCUACGGGAGGCAGCAGUAGAGAAUCUUCCGCAAUGGGCGAAAGCCUGACGGAGCAACGCCGCGUGAGUGAUGAAGGUCUUCGGAUCGUAAAACUCUGUUAUUAGGGAAGAACAUAUGUGUAAGUAACUGUGCACAUCUUGACGGUACCUAAUCAGAAAGCCACGGCUAACUACGUG